AAACUGAAUUCACAAUAGUUUAAAUCGUAAUUAUUUUGGAUAUUGGUAAUACUAAACAAUGUUUAUCAAAGAUGAGCUGCUUUGAGAAAUGGAAUCGGUAAAAGUUUACGUACGUUUGUGUGAGAGACUGAGGUUGAUUUAGGAUCGCUAGGUGGCAGUAUAAGGUUGCUUGCAAACCAGCAAUGCAGAUGAAGAAGAAACUAGUAUAAUGGUGCAUUCCAGGCAGGUUUUUAAACCCGUGAGUUACGACUUCAAAACCACGACUCACGACCUUAUGCGUUCCAGGCAGCCUGUAACUCGUGUUUUUACAACCUUCUACCGGUGAAAGUGCUCUGGAACGGCAGUCAAACCCGUGACUUCCCACCCGUGAACUCGUACUAGAUCGAUGUACUCCCAGUUCAAAGUCGUGAGUCGUGGUUUUGAAGUCGUGAGUUACGGGUUACAGGUUGCCUGGAACGCAGCAUAAAAGUAAUGGUCGUGACGUGAGCAGUGUUCAUGCCUCAUGCGGUUGCCGACACGUGGCGAUUUAAGAAGAGUUUUUAGUCAGAAGCUGGAAGACUGCCUGUUACGUUCAUAUAACUUACCAGAAGAUCAUCAGUGCUUUUUUUGUUGUUGCUGGGUCUGCAGCAAUUUUCUAACGAAACAAAUCUUUAUGUAUUUAUUCAUAAGUCAUCAAAUAUAUUUAUAUGUCUUUUUAAUUUGUAUAUGCAACAGAAUUGUGUAGUAUUAAACAACAAGCGGUAUUUUUGUAUUCUGUUGAAAAUGCUUUAUUUUGAGAUCAAAAAUCGUGUCUUCUUCCAUUUAAAAAUACAAUAAUGUGUCCAUAACUAUCAAAUAUAUGACAAAAUGCUAAAUAAAUAUUAUAAAAUAUAUAAUGAAAGUAGUGGUCCCCUGGAGUUGUGUCACUGGUGUUACCGUUUAACAAAAAAGCUCUUUAUUUUUAAAUCAAAAUCACACUGAUGACAUCACUUGACUUCCUUCUUUC